GAUGAACGCUGGCGGCGUGCCUAAUACAUGCAAGUCGAGCGAACAGACGAGGUGCUUGCUCCUCUGACGUUAGCGGCGGACGGGUGAGUAACACGUGGAUAACCUACCUAUAAGACUGGGAUAACUUCGGGAAACCGGAGCUAAUACCGGAUAAUAUAUUGAACCGCAUGGUUCAAUAGUGAAAGACGGUUUUGCUGUCACUUAUAGAUGGAUCCGCGCCGCAUUAGCUAGUUGGUAAGGUAACGGCUUACCAAGGCAACGAUGCGUAGCCGACCUGAGAGGGUGAUCGGCCACACUGGAACUGAGCCACGGUCCAGACUCCUACGGGAGGCAGCAGUAGGGAAUCUUCCGCAAUGGGCGAAAUCUUGACGGAGCAACGCGGCGUGAGUGAUGAAGGUUUUCGGAUCUUAAAACUCUGUUAUUAGGGAAGACCAAAUGUGUAAGUAACUAUGCACGUCUUGACGGUACCUAAUCAGAAAGCCACGGCUAACUACGUG
rnacentral:rRNA from 1 species